rnacentral:rRNA from 1 species
GACAGAGGCCUCAAGCGUUAGGCGGAAUCACUGGGCUUAAAGCGUGUGUAGGCGGCCUUCUAAGUGCCUUGUGAAAUCCCACGGCUCAACCGUGGAACUGCUGGGCAUACUGGGAGUCUUGGGCCAUUCAGGGGCAACUGGAACAAGCGGUGGAGCGGUGAAAUGCGUAGAUAUCGCUUGGAACGCCGAAGGUGAAAACAGGUUGCUGGGGAUGUGCCGACGCUGAGACACGAAAACCAGGGGAGCAAACGGG